rnacentral:rRNA from 1 species
GGAAUAUUGGACAAUGGGCGCAAGCCUGAUCCAGCAAUGCCGCGUGGGUGAAGAAGGCCUUCGGGUUGUAAAGCCCUUUUGUACGGGAAGAAAACCUACUCGUUAAUACCGGGUGGGAAUGACGGUACCGUAAGAAUAAGCACCGGCUAACUUCGUGCCAGCAGCUGCGGUAAUACGAAGGGUGCAAGCGUUAAUCGGAAUUACUGGGCGUAAAGCGUGCGUAGGCGGUUUGUUGAGUCCGAUGUGAAAGCCCUGGGCUCAACCUGGGAAUGGCAUGGGAAACUGGCGAGCUAGAGUGCGGUAGAGGGGUGCGGAAUUCCCGGUGUAGCGGUGAAAUGCGUAGAGAUCGGGAGGAACAUCCGUGGCGAAGGCGGCACCCUGGACCAGCACUGACGCUGAGGCACGAAAGCGUGGGGAGCAAAC